CAAUAGCGUAUAUUAAAGUUGUUGCAGUUAAAAAGCUCGUAGUUGGAUUUCGGGUGGGACGCAGCGGUCUCGCAUUGCGUUUGUACUGCUGCAGCCCUCCUUCUUGCCGGGGGCGGCCUCUCGGACUUCACUGUCUGGGGGUCAGAAUCGGCGAUGUUACUUUGAGUAAAUUAGAGUGUUCAAAGCAAGCUUACGCUCUGAAUAUAAUAGCAUGGGAUAACACGACAGGACUCUGGCCUAUCGUGUUGGUCUAUAGGACCAGAGUAAUGAUUAAGAGGGACAGUCGGGGGCAUUCGUAUUCCGUUGUCAGAGGUGAAAUUCUUGGAUUUACGGAAGACGAACAUCUGCGAAAGCAUUUGCCAAGGAUGUUUUCAUUAA
rnacentral:rRNA from 1 species